UACGGAGGGUGCAAGCGUUAUCCGGAUUCACUGGGUUUAAAGGGUGCGUAGGAGGGCAGGUAAGUCAGUGGUGAAAUCUCCAAGCUUAACUUGGAAACUGCCGUUGAUACUAUCUGUCUUGAAUGUUGUGGAGGUGAGCGGAAUAUGUCAUGUAGCGGUGAAAUGCUUAGAUGAUGACAUAGAACACCAAUUGCGAAGGCAGCUACACUACACAAUUAUUGGACUCUGAGGCACGAAAAUGCGUGGGGAUCAAACAGG
rnacentral:rRNA from 1 species